rnacentral:misc_RNA from 1 species
AAGUCGUAACAAGGUUUCCGUAGGUGAACCUGCGGAAGGAUCAUUACUGCUUGCUUACGGUCUCGUUGCGGGCAACCGCGCGAGAUCGGGCACGCUACCCUUGCCUAUGUAUACCUAUCGUUACUCCCUCGGCGGGGAGACUCGCCGCUGGGAUCGCAUAAACCCUUUGUAUUAUAGCAUCAAAACUUCUGAAAACAAACUAAAUAAUCACAACUUUCAACAAUGGAUCUCUUGGUUCUG